AACCAGCACCUCAAGUGGUCAGGAUGAUUAUUGGGCCUAAAGCAUCCGUAGCCUGCUUUGUAAGUUUUCGGUUAAAUCCAUACGCUCAACGUAUGGGCUGCCGGGAAUACUGCAAAGCUAGGGAGUGGGAGAGGUAGACGGUACUCGGUAGGAAGGGGUAAAAUCCUUUGAUCUAUUGAUGACCACCUGUGGCGAAGGCGGUCUACCAGAACACGUCCGACGGUGAGGGAUGAAAGCUGGGGGAGCAAACCGGAUUAGAUACCCGGGUAGUCCCAGCUGUAAACUAUGCAAACUCAGUGAUGCAUUGGCUUGAUGCCAAUGCAGUGCUGCAGGGAAGCCGUUAAGUUUGCCGCCUGGGAAGUACGUACGCAAGUAUGAAACUUAAAGGAAUUGGCGGGGAGCACCACAAGGGGUGAAGCCUGCGGUUC
rnacentral:rRNA from 1 species